rnacentral:rRNA from 1 species
GACGAACGCUGGCGGCGUGCUUAACACAUGCCAGUCGAACGGAAAGGCCUGCUUUCCCUUGUGGAUUGCGGGUACUCGAGUGGCGAACGGGUGAGUAACACGUGAGUGAUCUGCCCCCAACUUGGGUAUAAGCCUGGGAAACUGGGUCUAAUUCCCGAUAGGACUGCAGGGUGGUGCCUGUGGUGGAAAACGAUUUUCUAGUGGUUGGGGAUGAGCUCGCGGCCUAUCAGCUUGUUGGUGGGGUAAUGGCCUACCAAGGCGGCGACGGGUAGCCGGCCUGAGAGGGUGGACGGCCACAUUGGGACUGAGAUACGGCCCAGACUCCUACGGGAGGCAGCAGUGGGGAAUAUUGCACAAUGGGCGGAAGCCUGAUGCAGCGACGCCGCGUGGGGGAUGACGGCCUUCGGGUUGGAAACUCCUUUCGACCGCGAGGAAGCCACCUGGUUGGAAGGGUGGUGACGGUAGUGGUAGAAGAAGCACCGGCUAACUACGU